UUAUGUGCAGUCAAGGCUUUUCACUGAGGCAGCAAGAGCUUUCUCAUCAUGUUUAUAGAUCUCCAGAGAUUCCCAAAGGCAUGGUCCUUCCUCUCUCUGGUUCCUAAAUAACUUCUACUAAGGUGGCUUUUACUAUUUUACUUUUCAGAUUUUUUCCAAGGCCUGUCUCAAGGAACAUGGGACAUACUCACCCAGGAAUAGGUCAGCAGAUAUUAACGAGGCACCUUAUAACAUCUAAUUUAAAGCACACUUCCCUUGCAUGACUCCUACCUACAGGUGAAUUCCCUAUCAACUCAGGGAACUCCCUUAAGAUUAGAAUGCAGUUUUGUAUGCCUCCUGUUAUAUAUGUUUAACUUUAGAGAGGUGCAGCCUAUUCACCAAUCUCUAACAUCAUCAUCAAUUAAACAGGGCAUGUGACCACCCGUGAACCCAUGCUAGAGUUUUCCAGGUAUGUUCCUGUGAGGUCUUCAGUGAUUCACUGGAAGUACUCACAGAUCUCAGAAAACCUGUCAUGUUACAAUUAUAGUUUAUUAUAUAGCAAGAGGAUUCAGAUUGAAGUCAGCAAUGGAAAAAGAUACAUAGAGCAAACUCCAGCAGAAACCAAGUACGUGCUUCUAGUUCUCUUGCAGUUCAUGCAUGUGACCAGCCUAAUUCUCCCUGUUACAAUGUGAGACGACACGCAGACAGUGUUGCCAACCAGGAAGGCUCACCUGAGCUUUGGUGUCCAGGCGAACUGCCCAUGGGACUGACCUUCGGUCUCCAGUUCCUCCAGAGGUCAAGCUGAUACCACCACCAGGAGAGAGAAUCAGCUUGACUUGAGGAUGCCUCUCAAGGGAGAAGACUCCGCUUCAAUCAAACAGAGAGAUAUUCAUUUUUCACUUCUCUGGAUAUUGGUUUUCUAAGAGCAUUUGAGUUUAGCAGUAUACCCUCUAAGACAUUAUAGCUCUGCAAAUCCCGUUCCAAGCAUAUGACGUUACAGUUUACGCACCAUCGAGGUCUCCAAGCAGAGAAAUUCCCAAUGGUUGCCUUCAUUGGUCCAGACUUACACAUGGUUGGGAAAUCAAAACACCGUCACUACACAUGAGUUAUCUGCCUCUUGCUUCCAAGCAGACCCCUUUGUUUUAAAGCAGUGGCACUUAUAUAAACAUCAGACUUAUUCAUCUUAUGCUUACGCAUGUGUGAAAUUCUCAAAUUAUACAAUCUUGGGUUGUUUAAUGUUGUGACAGAAAAACCAACCCAACCGCUAAAAAGUCCAGUUAAAACAAAACUAUAAUCUUUUUCUUUUAAAAUUUGGUGGGAGCAGGGAGACAAAGUGGAAGCUGUGUGUUCAGGACCUGUCUAGACCUCGCCUUAUGUGUCUUUUCAUUGGGCUAGUCCCCACUGUACCUUUUA